CACAGAAACUCUAAGUCAACAAGUACAGAGACGCAGAGUGAAAAACCCAAGCCCUUUAAAGAGGCUUGUACGUUCUUGUGAGAGAGCAGGCCGGUCUUUCUCGGCGAGACAAAGGUGCGGGACAGUUUAUUAGUUCAAGGCUGAGCUCCCCGGCUGCCACUGCCGGCGCCUCUUCAAGGCCAGCUCCCGGCCCUUGCCGGUCCUUCAGAUUUAAUGUUGCCAUUUUACUCUGGAAUCUGGUUAAAAUGAAUAACCCCUUUGGAGAACAACAGAAGUCGUCUUUGCUCUGCCAUCUUUCACCACUUCCAGCGUUUGUAAUAAACAUAAUGUGAGAGCCAUGGACACGAAACUGUUCGUGUGGUUGACUUCAGACGAGGGACUAGCACGAUGAAUCAGUAACAGAGCUGGGCCAGGAGCGCCAGCCUCUCAGCUUUUCGUCUGAUGCUCAUUCUC
rnacentral:lncRNA from 1 species